rnacentral:rRNA from 1 species
GAUGGUCUCGCGAGAGUAAAGAUUUAUCGCUUUGGGAACGGCCUGCGUUCUAUCAGCUUGUUGGUAAGGUAACGGCUUACCAAGGCUACGACGGAUAGGGGAGGUGAGAGCCUGACCCCCACCGAUGGAACUGCGACACGGUCCAUACUCCUACGGGAGGCUGCAGUCGAGAAUCUUCCGCAAUGGACGAAAGUCUGACGGAGCGACGCCGCGUGGUAGAUGAAGUCCUUAGGGACGUAAAUACCUUUUUAU